GCCUUUCCUGCAUGAAUUCUUGACAGCUUUCAAGAUCCAGAUGGGAAGAGGGCAGUGCUAUAGGAGGGGAGACCACUGGUGACAUGCCAGGUAUUUAAUAAAACUCAAACAAAUUGAUGAGUGAAUAAGACAAGAUGAAUCAAAGAAUGAAGAAUUAAAGUCAUGGAACAAAACACACAGGCGUCCUGAACACUGACAGCUGGUCUUGAACUUGGCACAUGAGUCAGCAUUGUUGAAUGAAUCCAGAAGCUCUGGAAGCCUCCUUUUAGCCAGGCACCCCCUGGCCCGGACUGACACAUAAAAUCAACCACCACUAUAGCCAGGCCAGCCUCAGGAUAAGUGUCUUUCCCAGUUUCAUAUAUAGAAGACGAAUUAAAUAUGAACUGAAUGACGGAUUUUGUGGAGACUGUCCAGGCGGAUCCAAAACCAAGCAGAAGCGCUCAGAAGCACCCUUGUCAGAACACUGGGAGAGAGAGACGUUGACAGCCACCAACCGAAUGCUGAACGAAGGCGGAGGAAACUGGAAAAUGGUAGGAAAGCCUUGUUGUAUUUUCACCCGCUCCUGCCCGGUCCCCUUCCUGGCCUGGCAGCCCCAUUCCCAGUGUGGGAGCAGGGUCCCCGGCUCAGGACGGUGCACGGCCGACCUCACUUGCCAAUUAUUAGGUAUGUCCACUCUCGCCUAUCUAGGGCCUCUCCAGAGGGCCGACACAAGACCGUUUGCCUGACUCAGAACGCAGGCCAGAAAAGCAGGGUGCCCUGCUGGGAGAAAAAGCAGCAAGGGAGGUCACCACCCAUAGGUGCUGGUGGCACAGACGCCAGGGGCAGAUUUCCCGCAAGCUGCCAAAGGCCUAGAGGAAAGCUGGGGGAGGUUCUUCAGGGGAAUUAGGACAUCCAGAAGCACCCUCGUGUAAAGGGGAAUUUGGAAAGCCACACGCAUGAUCAGGGCAAGACACACGCUCCGAGUAGAGCAGGGAAACCCUGAGUUUUCCCCUUGGCCUGGUCCCUGGGCUUCGUGUAAGCCUGUAAGUGUGGAAACAGCAACAACGUCCCUCUCUAGUGAUGCUUAGGAUUUUUUUGUCCUUAGUCUGUUUCCUAAUUCAGCUAAAAUAUUUAGCUGAAUCCAAAAUUAAAUCCACAAAACAAGUGUCUAUAUUAAAAGAAAUCUAGCUUCUAUCUCUGUACUUCCUACCACAUGUCCUCCUUGUUUUAACCACUUUUUCCAAAAAAAAAUGUCGUUUAUCUUACCAUAUAGGUUUGUUGUCAGUUUCUCCAUUUCCAACCCAGAGGACACAAUGCAUGCUUUUCUCCAUCUUUCUUCUUUUCGUUCUAUAAUACUUCUUUGAAAUAAUUCCAUAGUAGUAGAUCCGUAUUGAUAGCUGUAUGGUACUCCAUUGGGUACCACAAUUUAUUCUAAUCCGCCCCCCAUAGAAGAAUAUUGGAAUUGUUUUUCCGUCUGUUUUUUACUAUAAAAUAUCCUGCAGUGAUAUCAGUUUGUUGAUUGUAACCAAUGUGCAAUAAAAGCCAUUGAUAAAGGGAAGAGAGUGUGAAGCCCUUGGGACCCAUCUGUACUGUCUUUGCAAUUCUGCAAAUCUAAAUCUGUUAGCACAUUUUUAAAGUUUCUUUAAAAAUAAGAAAAAUAGGAGUUCCCUUGGAGGUGCAGCAGAAACGAAUCCGAUUAGGAAUGAGGAGUUUGCGGGUUCGAUCCCUGGCCUCGCUCAGUGGGAUAAAGAUCUGGUGUUGCUGUGAGCUGUGGUGUAGGUCACAGAUGUGGCUCAUAUCCCUCGGUGCUGUGGCUUUGGCAUAGGCCAGUAGCUAUAGCUCCGAUUCAACCCCUAGAGAACUUCCAUACGCCUCGGGUGUGGCCCUAAAAAGACAAAAUUAAAAACAAACAAACAAACAAAAAGCAGAUGACAUUAAUGGCGUCUUUUUUCAGGUCACUGAAGUGAACACUUCUUGCAUAUAAUGUGUUAUUUUUGAUGUGCUCCUUGCUACUGUUUGCUGAUAUUUAAGAUUUUUCACUGACGCACAGCAGAUUGGUUUGCAGUUUUCUUUCUCAGUGCAGUCUUUGACAUGUCUUUGGAAUCAGUGUUCCGUUUUCCUCUUUCUCUAUCCUCUGGAGUCGUUCUAAGUAGAACGGGGACUUUUCUAUUCUUUAACGGUGAGCUAGAAUGUCCCUGGGACCUUCUGGGGCGUGUGCUUCUUCACUCCUCAUAGUUCAUCUUUCAUAACAGUUGAAGACUGUUUAAACUUUCUGCCUCAACUGGAGACUAUUUUGGCAAGCUGUAAUUCUCAAAACCAAACAUUUCCUCUUGCAGUGUGUCUCUCUUCUCACCUAAGCUGGAAGCUCUUGGAGGGCAUAUUCCAAUAACAAUUUUAGGGUACCCAUCUGGUGUCCAACAAGUCAGUUCAAUUCCAGCAAUAAUAAUAUAUUAUAUAAACCACCUGGAGUUAGACAGACCCCACCAGUAAAGGCGCUCAGUCUUAUAAUACCGCCUCCACUGCAGAUGCCAGCUCCAAGUCAGGUCCUCAGGUCUACCUGAAAUUCUGACCAACUGCCUUUCCUGCAGCAUCCGCAGGUUCUGUAACUCCCCUUCAGUUCUGGUAUUUUUCUAGAACUACUCACAGAAUUCCUUGAAAGCACUACACUUAUUGGUACUGUUCUGUUCUAAAGAAUAUGCCCACAUGAAAGAUGGAGCUGGGCUCAGAACUUCCGUGCCUUCUGCAGGCGCCGCUACCCCCUCCCCCAGCAGCACACCCAUGCCCACACCCCGGAAGCUCUGCCAGCCUCCUCCUUACAGCGUUUUUAUCUGGACGUGCCUUACGGAGGCUCAGUUGCAUCGCCGGCCACAGGAUUAAAUACCAUCUCUCAGGAAACUCUCUGGGUGUCAGGAGCUCUGUGCCAAGAACUUGGGACAAAGACCAGGAACCUUUAUUUUAUGAGACCCCUGGGAGAAUACUGUGCAUUUCUUCAGUGCCCCGCUCGAGUUAUGCCUAGGUGUAGGUAGGUGUACAAUCUUUAUCUAUUAAGUUAUUGGAUACAAGAGUGACUGAACUGUAUUUGUUCCAGUUAGUAAGGCUGUGCUUUCUUUCGGGAAGGAAAGCCAACCCAGUCUUUGGGCCUGUUACUUGGUAAUGCUAAUGCGUUACAUUCCCUUCAGCCCCCCCACCCCCACCCCCCGCCCUGAAAGUGCCGGCUGCCCAAAGCCUUGCAGUCCAAAGACCUGAAAUCCUGAUUUAAAAAAUGCCAGUGUGAUCUUUUGAUCAAAGCUUUCCUUGUAGGGUAUCAAGUCUCCCCUUACCUGAAUGCAUGAAUCUUGAGUUGCCUCAAGUAGGAGAAUCUCUGAGAGAUGGUCCAAACAUCAGUUUUCUUCGUUGCUUUUUUAAUGACACAGGUACAUUUUGAGAGUUUUUAAUUGCAUUUCCCCUAAAGGUUGUGUAAAGUGUGUGUGUGUGUGUGUGUGUGUGUGUGUUUAAUCUCUCACACAUCCUGGUGGGAAAUGUUCAAGUGCUCAGAUGGAACUACUUGAGACUAGCAACCAAUUGAACUUGACAGUCAUACCUGAUACUCUGUUCAUCCUCAACAUUUUAAUCAUCUGGAUUUUGUAAUUCUGUUGUGUUUUGUAGGAAAGCAACUGUGUUAUGUGAGAGAUGAAACUUUGCAGUUUUCUCAUGUUUAAUUUUUUUAGGUCUGUCCUGGAGAAUUUUUCCAGCUGGAUGACUAAUGCAGAGGGAUUUUUCUCUUCCAUUGCUAUCAUCCCUUAUGUGAAUUAUUAAUAUAUGUUUUUAUUUAUAAUUCAUUACCUUUAAAACAGAGUCAUGGAUGAGCAAAGACCCAGCUGCACUUGGGCUCAUCAAAUGUCCUUAACUGUUUUUUGGAGUUUGAGCGUUUUCCCAACAUGUUUCCACGAACAUUCUCCCCUUAUUUACAAUCCCUUGUGUGUCUAAGGGAAAUGGAAGCCUUAUGUUUCUUUUUCACUUAUACUUAACUCAUCAGAAUGUUUUGCAAAGCAAUUUAAAUGUCCAAGAAGAUUUUUAUUACUGAUUUUCUUAGAAACAUAAAGUCUUAUUUUGCCAAUGGUAGAAGAGAAAAAAACCUAUAUGUGAACCCAAGGACUAAUGUUUGCUUCAGAACUUAAAACCGAUAAAAGUUUGAGUGGGUUUUGAACUUGGCAAUUC
rnacentral:lncRNA from 1 species